rnacentral:rRNA from 1 species
GACAGAGGGUGCAAACGUUGUUCGGAAUUACUGGGCGUAAAGCGCGUGUAGGCGGCUUAGCAAGUCGGAUGUGAAAGCCCUGGGCUUAACCCAGGAAGUGCACUCGAAACUGCUGAGCUUGAGUUCUGGAGAGGAAGGCGGAAUUCUCGGUGUAGAGGUGAAAUGCGUAGAGAUCGGGAGGAAUACCUGUGGCGAAGGCGGCCUACUGGGCCGGACCUGACGCUGAGACGCGAAAGCAUGGGGAGCGAACAGG